rnacentral:rRNA from 1 species
GCAAAAGCUCAAAUUUGAAAUCUGGCACUUUCAGUGUCCGAGUUGUAAUUUGAAGAAGGUAUCUUUGGGUCUGGCUCUUGUCUAUGUUUCUUGGAACAGAACGUCACAGAGGGUGAGAAUCCCGUGCGAUGAGAUGACCCAGACCUAUGUAAAGUUCCUUCGAAGAGUCGAGUUGUUUGGGAAUGCAGCUCUAAGUGGGUGGUAAAUUCCAUCUAAAGCUAAAUAUUGGCGAGAGACCGAUAGCGAACAAGUACAGUGAUGGAAAGAUGAAAAGAACUUUGAAAAGAGAGUGAAAAAGUACGUGAAAUUGUUGAAAGGGAAGGGCUUGAGAUCAGACUUGGUAUUUUGUAUGUUACUCUCUCGGGGGUGGCCUCUACAGUUUACCGGGCCAGCAUCAGUUUGGGCGGUAGGACAAUUGCAAAGAAAUGUGGCACUGCCUCGGUAGUGUGUUAUAGUCUUUGUCGAUACUGCCAGCCUAGACUGAGGACUGCGGCUUCGGCCUAGGAUGUUGGCAUAAUGA